GCCAACAAACCUUGAUUUCCGUGCCCAACGUUUAACCGUCUGUCUUAUUUAAAAAAAAUAUGAAAAAAAAUUAAAAAGAUAAGUCACACAUAAAAUAUUAAUCAUGUUUCAUGUUUUAUCAUCUAACAACAAUGAAAAUACGAAUUAUAAAAAAAAUUCAUAUAAGACAUACAGUCAAAGUUGGACACGGAAACCCAGAGUUUGUCUUUUU
rfam:Oryza glaberrima chromosome 3 Oglab03_0160_2, whole genome shotgun sequence.